CAGUGUCCUUACUACCUAGGUUCAUCAACCAGAAAUCGAGAACAAAUGGGCUGUGUCUCCGUUUCCCUCAACAUUCUCAGGUGGGGUCGCAGGAGACUGUGACAUCACACCAUGGUAACAUGGUAACAUGCCCACAUCACAGACACCACCUCACCGGAGCAGACAAGCACAAACCAAGCAGGGGAGAAGAGAAGCCUGACAACCACCAGCACCCCGAGUCCUCCACUUCAACAACGUGAGUGGAAGAGCCUGCCCGGGGUUGGGAUUCAGCCAGGAACACACCUACCGCCAUAACCGAGAAAUGUGAACCAGGAUACUGUACUGUGUGGACACUUCUUCCUCCCACAACUUGUUUUACAUACCUAAGAUCACCACUUCAUAGCAGUUAGGUUGUGAGGAUAUGGAGAGAAAAGAAUAAAACCAGUGGCCCCACUUAAUUGCAGUUUACGGUUCCUCAUCCCAACAUGAAGGCUGGAGACAAAGCAAUGGACAGAAAUGGAGAGAGGGAUACCAAGAGCUUGAAAACAUGGGCCUUUUACGUAAGUUUUUGUCACGUUACAGUAACGCUUUUUUUUUUCCUUUGAGAAAACUGUGUACGACAAAUUAAAAAAACUAAAGAUCAAAAGGAUGUGCAAGUCUUAAAGGGUUCAACUGGGUUUAGAAUCCUGAUUUGAACAUAUAAAUUCACUCAAGCAUCACUUUGGUCUAAAGGCAGGAGGAAGGCAGGCAGGAAAGGGACAAAAAGAGGGAGAUAAUUGAAUUACUCAAUAAAAGAGGCUACUUACCA